UAUUAUAAUGUGGUCUGAGUUGACACGUGGAGCACAGAAAAGAUAAUGUAUAAUGAGAUUAAAGGAGAAGGAAUAGGUCAUACUGGUGUAACUAAGCUCGCUGGGAUGUGACCGUGUGCACUUGUACAGGCUACAGUCCUUGUCUUAUAUUAACAGGUGGAUAUUUAUUUGAACCUUUGAUCUGGUUCAGGAAGGACAAAGAUGUGGACAGUAGUAUUCCCAAAGGACAUGUAUACAGUAGACUUGAAGGAGAAGAAGCUCCUUGAGGAGAAGGAAAAUGGAAAGGAGGCCACUAAUGGAAAGGAAAAUGAGGAGAACGGAGAGCCUGAGAUUGAUGAGGAAGAGGAGGAUGAAGUAGACGAAGAAGACGAGGAGGAAGAUGGAGAGGGAGAUGAAGAUGAGGAGGAGGACGAGGAGGACGACCUGGGCGGAGGAACGAAACGAGGGGCUGAUGAGGAUGACGAGGACGAUGAGGACGAGGUCGACCCGAAGAAACAGAAGACGGACGACGAUGAUUAAAAGGAUUGUUGGAUGCUACUGAUCCGGUGUAGAGCUCAUCUUCAGCACAUUUGUUGGAGCCAGUGGCAUAAAGGACUCAAACAUCAAACAUGGUCAUUUUUUCCCCCCCAAGUUCCUGCGUCUCACCCACUAACCCCCAAUGCAAAAUUUUCUAGAGGGAAAAGUCCACCACCCAGAUCCCCAACACGACGACAAAGUUCACAAGACGAGGAUUUGUUUGUAUUUUUAUUUACAUUUUAUAUUUUUGUACAUAUUGUUAAGGGAUCAGUCACUUGAUCGUGAUCUCCUGUGACCAAAACGGUGCUUCUUUAUGAAAUUUUACUUGUUUGACCAUGUCUCGCAAACUUUGGAAACAGAAACAUUUAUAAAAAAUAAUAAAAAAAAUUCAGCCAUUUAACUCUGAGCAUUCCAGUCAGAUUUUAUGUAUGAACUUUAGUUGUACCAUAAACUAGUUUUGUUUCGUUUUUGUUUUGUUUGUAUGGGAGGGCUAGGCCAAAGAAAAGGAGUUACUUUUCUUAUUGUUUUUCGUUUGCAUUUGUUUUACCUUGGCCUGUCUGUGUGUGUGAAGUUUGUUCAACAAUAAACCUGACUUUUAUUUUGUGAGUUGUACUUGACCUCUCUGUUUCCUUUGGUACAUCUCUGCUACCAGAAGCUUGAGUUCAAUUCACAGGACUGCUCGAGCAUCGCUUAAGAUCUUCACUAAAGCUAGUUUAGAAAGCCUGCAAUGUUGAUCUUAAUGUCAUCUGCUGUGCCUUAAAUUAUUAGUACUCAAUACAAGCAUGUAUGGGGAUGCUUAUUAUUGGGUUAAAAUAUGGAUAUAAUGUCUCUGGGUCAUGACCUCUACUGUAAAAUGUAAAAAGUUAAGGAAAAAAGGAUAUGGUGUACGGAGAUCUUUUGUGAGGAGUUUUGUGUUGGAAAUUAGAGCAUCGCACACAUGUUUGUGUUUGGGGAUGUAUUAAAUAUUUGAAUUUUGUUAAAGAUCAGUGCCCAAUAAAAUAAAGUACAUCAUAGCAGUUUUAAGAACAAGGAUGGCCUGUCGUUGACAAGUCCGAGAAUGACAUGGAAGACAGCAUGAUGAAGAAUUUAUUCUCUAGUCAAGGAAACUGUUUGGAUGAUGGCGCUGCACUGGGUUCCAUUAUCGGUUUGCGUUAAAUGCAUCAACCAUGAAGCACCUUGUGCAAUGUCUGAACUUACACUAGUGCCCACAUGUCAGCUCUGCUUAUUAAAAAGAAACAACUGUAACUUGAUCACCAUUCGUCCUCGUUAACAAUUGAUCAACUUCUCAAUGUCUGGUGAAGUUGACCAAAGUGCAGUGAAGCCUGUAUCAUGCGAAAGGUAAAGUGGAAAUCUGCUCUGAAUAUUUGAGAUUCAUCUUUAUAAUUAACAUGAUCUUGAACUUGAUUCAAGAUAGACUUUGUAAUGAAAUGUUUUUAUACAUCAAUUUUUAAUCGUUAUAACGCCGUUCGCCUACCUACUUAUAGCGUUGCACUGGGAUUUAGCUGUUGCAUCAUCAUCUCUACAUAAAGAGAGUGAUGCAGCGGCGCUUUAGUCCGUCCAGAUCUGUGCACUCUGCUCGAACAGAUCAGCUUCCAAAGUUUCAACCGUCAUAUUAAUACCGCCAUUAACACAUCACAUGGUGUAAAUGAGAUCACUGAAGUUUUUUUUAUUAACAUUACCGUUAAACACCACUGUAACUAGCAAAAGCAGCGUCCCACUGUGACAUCAGUGCGGCACACAACGCCUAACUUUUCACCAGAAUAAUGAAAAUACAGCAACAAUUAAGAAAUCAGCACCAGAAUCACUAAUUCAUUUUCUUUCAAGCACCAGACGCUUAACCUUAAAGCCCCACGUGUUAAAGAGUUCGCCUCCCUGUUUUGAUUGGCAGUCUGAAGCUGCCUGAGAGCUGGAUUUCACCGCAAUGACACUGCUUUAGUGAAGGGUGUGUGCUCCUGCUGUGCAUAGGAUGCACUCAGAAAAGCUGUCUAAACUAAAACGAGCUCUGUGGAGUGUGCGUGUGUGUGUGUGCGUGUGUGUAUUGACUGUCUGACCCGGGACUCUGAUGUCAUGUCUACAGGGGUGUGUGUGUCAGGCAUAAGAAUUAAGAGCUAGCUGUGUUGACUAGAAUAACUAGUAUGUGUUUGAGUGUCUGGAGCUGGUUGAGUGAUAUGAUAUACCACAUAUAUAGUAUGGCUGGUUGGACUCAUUUUUGUGAUUUGAGCAUGACCGUAGACCCAUAAAAACUCCAAAGCAGCAUAAGCAGCAUACUAAUUAGCCCUAUAAACACUCCACAGUGUUCUACACUAGCAUUGCGAAUCUCACGGCCACACAACUGCAUGCUGUGUGAUUUCUGUUAUCAUGUCAUCUGUCAUCUGCUUACUCUUUCAAUUUAACCAAAUCCUAGGUCCCCAAGACCACACACAUACACACACACAUGCACAAGUCUCUGUCAUGCACUUUUGUCUAGCUUUUAAAAAGAAGGAAAAAGUUAAUGCAAGAACUGAAAUGUUAGUAUGUAAAGGUUCAGAACUGAAGUGUUCUUUUUGUUGCACAAACUAAGAUACUAAG
ensembl:lncRNA